rnacentral:rRNA from 1 species
CAGCAGCCGCGGGAAUACAGAGGGUGCAAGCGUUAAUCGGAAUUACUGGGCGUAAAGCGCGCGUAGGUGGUUUGUUAAGUUGGAUGUGAAAUCCCCGGGCUCAACCUGGGAACUGCAUCCAAAACUGGCAAGCUAUAGUAUGGUAGAGGGUGGUGGAAUUUCCUGUGUAGCGGUGAAAUGCGUAGAUAUAGGAAGGAACACCAGUGGCGAAGGCGACCACCUGGACUGAUACUGACACUGAGGUGCGAAAGCGUGGGGAGCAAACAGGAUUAGAUACCCCAGUAGUCCCUGUCUCUUAUAC